rnacentral:rRNA from 1 species
GCAGAGGAGCCUGGAGCAGGUGCUGCAUGGCUGUCGUCAGCUCGUGUCGUGAGAUGUUGGGUUAAGUCCCGCAACGAGCGCAACCCUUGUCUUUAGUUGCCAUCAUUCAGUUGGGCAUUCUAAAGAGACUGCCGGUGUCAAACCGGAGGAAGGUGGGGAUGACGUCAAGUCCUCAUGGCCUUUAUGACCAGGGCUACACACGUACUACAAUGGCCGGUACAAAGGGCAGCCACUUAGCGAUAAGGAGCCAAUCCCGUAAAGCCGGUCUCAGUCCGGAUUGGAGUCUGCAACUCGACUCCAUGAAGUUGGAAUCGCUAGUAAUCGCAGAUCAGCACGCUGCGGUCGAAUACGUUCCGGGCCUU